GAAUUGUAAUGCUUGUCAGUACAAUGGUCAUCUUUGAGUGUUGGUUUAGAACAAGACGCUCCACCAAACCAGUGAAGAAAAUGUCAGCAGGGUGUUUGAG